rnacentral:rRNA from 1 species
UGGGGAAUAUUGCACAAUGGGGGAAACCCUGAUGCAGCGACGCCGCGUGAGCGAAGAAGGUUUUCGAAUCGUAAAGCUCUGUCCUAUGAGAAGAUAAUGACGGUAUCAUAGGAGGAAGCCCCGGCUAAAUACGUGCCAGCAGCCGCGGUAAUACGUAUGGGGCGAGCGUUGUCCGGAAUUAUUGGGCGUAAAGGGUACGUAGGCGGUCUAUUAAGUCAGGUGUGAAAGCGUGAGGCUUAACCUCAUUAAGUGCUUGAAACUGAUAGACUUGAGUGAAGGAGAGGAAAGUGGAAGUCCUAGUGUAGCGGUGAAAUGCGUAGAUAUUAGGAGGAAUACCGGUGGCGAAGGCGACUUUCUGGACUUUUACUGACGCUCAGGUACGAAAGCGUGGGGAGCAAACAGG